rnacentral:rRNA from 1 species
UACGUAGGGCGCAAGCGUUGUCCGGAAUUAUUGGGCGUAAAGAGCUCGUAGGCGGUUUGUCGCGUCUGCUGUGAAAAUCAGAGCUCAACCUUGGGCUUGCAGUGGGUACGGGCAGACUAGAGUGCGGUAGGGGUGACUGGAAUUCCUGGUGUAGCGGUGGAAUGCGCAGAUAUCAGGAGGAACACCGAUGGCGAAGGCAGGUCACUGGGCCGCAACUGACGCUGGAGGAGCGGAAA